rnacentral:rRNA from 1 species
UGGGGAAUUUUGGACAAUGGGCGAAAGCCUGAUCCAGCAAUGCCGCGUGUGUGAAGAAGGCCUUCGGGUUGUAAAGCACUUUUGUCCGGAAAGAAAUCCUUGGCUCUAAUACAGUCGGGGGAUGACGGUACCGGAAGAAUAAGCACCGGCUAACUACGUGCCAGCAGCCGCGGUAAUACGUAGGGUGCAAGCGUUAAUCGGAAUUACUGGGCGUAAAGCGUGCGCAGGCGGUUUGCUAAGACCGAUGUGAAAUCCCCGGGCUCAACCUGGGAACUGCAUUGGUGACUGGCAGGCUAGAGUAUGGCAGAGGGGGGUAGAAUUCCACGUGUAGCAGUGAAAUGCGUAGAGAUGUGGAGGAAUACCGAUGGCGAAGGCAGCCCCCUGGGCCAAUACUGACGCUCAUGCACGAAAGCGUGGGGAGCAAAACAGGAUUAGAUACCCUGGUAGUCCACGCCCUAAACGAUGUCAACUAGUUGUUGGGGAUUCAUUUCCUUAGUAACGUAGCUAACGCGUGAAGUUGACCGCCUGGGGGGUACGGUCGCAAGAUUAAAACUCAAAUGAAUUGACGGGGUCAUA